CAGUCGCCGCGGUAAUACGGAGGGUGCAAGCGUUAAUCGGAAUUACUGGGCGUAAAGCGCACGCAGGCGGUCUGACAAGUCAGAUGUGAAAUCCCCGGGCUUAACCUGGGAACUGCAUUUUGAAACUGUCAGGCUGGAGUCUUGUAGAGGGGGGUAGAAUUCCAGGUGUAGCGGUGAAAUGCGUAGAGAUCUGGAGGAAUACCGGUGGCGAAGGCGGCCCCCUGGACAAAGACUGACGCUCAGGUGCGAAAGCGUGGGGAGCAAACAGGAUUAGAUACCCGGGUAGUCCCUGUCUCUUAUA
rnacentral:rRNA from 1 species